rnacentral:sRNA from 1 species
AAUUAGUUGCGUUAACGAGUGAAAUGACAUCCUUUUUGAGGAACGAAAAAAGAUAUAGUGUAAAGCGUGACCUGCA